ensembl:lncRNA
UCGGUGCAGGGUUGAUGGUAGAGGUGACUCUGUGCAGGGAUGAUGGUAGAGAUGACUUAGUGCAGGGAUGAUGGUAGAGGUGAAUCAGUGCAGGGAUGAUGGUAGAGGUGACUCGGUGCAGGGAUGAUGGUAGAGGUAUGAUGGUAGAGGUGACUCAGUGCAGGGAUAUUGGUAGAGGUGACUCGGUGCAGGGAUGAUGGUAGAGGUGACUUGGUGCAGGGAUGAUGGUAGAGAUGAAUCGGUGCAGGGAUGAUGGUAGAGAUGAAUUGGUGCAGGGAUGAUGGUAGAGGUGACUUGGUGCAGGGACGUUGGUAGAGAUGACUCUGUGCAGGGAUGAUGGUAGAGGUGACUCUGUGCAAGGACGUUGGUAGGGGUGACUCAGUGCAGGGAUGAUGGUAGAGAUGAAUCGGUGCAGGGAUGAUUGUAGAGGUGACUCGGUGCAGGGAUGAUGGUAGAGGUAUGAUGGUAGAGGUGACUCGGUGCAGGGAUGAUGGUAGAGAUGAUUCGGUGCAGGGAUGAUUGAAGAGGUGACUUGGUGCAGGGACGUUGGUAGAGAUGAAUCGGUGCAGGGAUGAUUGUAGAGGUGACUCGGUGCAGGGAUGAUGGUAGAGGUGACUCUGUGCAGGGAUGAUGGUAGAGGUGACUCGGUGCAGGGAUGAUGGUAGAGGUAUGAUGGUCGAGGUGACUUGGUGCGGGGAUGAUGGUAGAGGUGACUCGGUGUAGGGAUGAUGGUAGAGGUGACUCGGUGCAGGGAUGAUGGUAGAGGUGAAUAUGUGCAGGGAUGAUGGUAAAGGUAUGAUGGUAGAGGUGACUCGGUGCAAGGACAAUGGUAGAGGUGACUCGGUGCAGGGACGUUGGUAGAGGUGACUCGGUGCAGGUACAAUGGUAGAGGUGACUCGGUGCAGGGAAGAUGGUAGAGGUGACUCGGUGCAGGGACGAUGGUAGAGGUGACUCGGUGCAGGGAUGAUGGUAGAGGUGACUCGUUUCAGGAGUUGAUCGUAGAGGUGACUCGUGCAAGGAUUAUGGUAGAGGUGACUCGGUUCAGGAGUUGAUCGUGAUGG